ACGAACGCUGGCGGCGUGCUUAACACAUGCAAGUCGCACGGAAAGGCCCUGCUUUUGUGGGGUGCUCGAGUGGCGAACGGGUGAGUAACACGUGAGUAACCUGCCCUUGACUUUGGGAUAACUUCAGGAAACUGGGGCUAAUACCGGAUAGGAGCUCCUGCUGCAUGGUGGGGGUUGGAAAGUUUCGGCGGUUGGGGAUGGACUCGCGGCUUAUCAGCUUGUUGGUGGGGUAGUGGCUUACCAAGGCUUUGACGGGUAGCCGGCCUGAGAGGGUGACCGGCCACAUUGGGACUGAGAUACGGCCCAGACUCCUACGGGAGGCAGCAGUGGGGAAUAUUGCACAAUGGGCGGAAGCCUGAUGCAGCAACGCCGCGUGCGGGAUGACGGCCUUCGGGUUGUAAACCGCUUUCGCCUGUGACGAAGCGUGAGUGACAGUAAUGGGUAAAGAAGCACCGGCUAACUACGUG
rnacentral:rRNA from 1 species